CUCAAAAUUUCUCUUGAGAUAUAUUAUUUUAUCUGUAUGUUAUGUAGAAAUAUGUUGUAUAAUCUCUAUGUAUUUGGAACCUCCAGCUACCUUUCUAUGAAAUGGUUAUGUUUAAUCUAAGACAAAAUCAAUCUAAGUGUGAACAAUCAGUCUGUUUAAUGACAAGGUGGUGUCACAUUUCUGUGAAAUCUUUGAAAGGAGGCAAAAAGCAAGUGUCGUUGGGGAGAUUCUUCCUUCAAAUUGCAUGAAAAAAAAAAGGUUCUAUUAAGCCAAUAGACUGCAGUGAUUCCAACAGUGAUAAUAAAAGGCAUCCUA
rnacentral:lncRNA from 1 species